AGUGAACGCUGGCGGUAGGCCUAACACAUGCAAGUCGAACGGCAGCACAGUAAGAGCUUGCUCUUACGGGUGGCGAGUGGCGGACGGGUGAGGAAUACAUCGGAAUCUACUUUUUCGUGGGGGAUAACGUAGGGAAACUUACGCUAAUACCGCAUACGACCUACGGGUGAAAGCAGGGGAUCUUCGGACCUUGCGCGAUUGAAUGAGCCGAUGUCGGAUUAGCUAGUUGGCGGGGUAAAGGCCCACCAAGGCGACGAUCCGUAGCUGGUCUGAGAGGAUGAUCGGCCACACGGGGACGGGGAAACGGCCCAGACGCCUACGGCCGGCAGCAGUAGGGAAUGUGCGGGAAGGGACGAAAGUCGGACCGAGCAACGCCGCGUGAGGGAAGAAGGUCUUCGGAUCUUAAAACUCUGUUGUUAGCGAAGAACAAGGACGUUAGGAACUGAACGUCCGCUGACGGUAUCUAACCAGAAAGCAACGGCUAAAUACGUG
rnacentral:rRNA from 1 species